rnacentral:lncRNA from 1 species
AUCAAUUACAUCACAAAAGUCUCAUCCAUAGUCAUAAUAAUACACAUAUCAUCAUCCAGUAGUAAUAAAAGACAAUAUCUCAUACAUAGUCAUAAUAAAAGUCUCAAGUAUUAGAACACAAUAACAUGGAAGCUCACGGUUGCCGAUCACCAUCGGGUUACAGUGAAGAGUGAUGGUCGAUACCUCCACUAUUGAAGAGGGUUUCGAAAAAGUCUAACCCGUCCUCUUGUUCAUGCGUCGGCAAGGUAGCUGGAGGGGUCUAAUAUACAUGUACAAAUGACAUUUGCUGAGUUACAUCAUAAUAUAACUAACAACAAGUAAAUGAUGAUGAAUAUGCAUACCUGAUGUUCGGUAGAUGGAGAUGUAGGUAUAGGUGGAGCUGAAGACCAAG